rnacentral:rRNA from 1 species
CGCGUAGGUAACCUGCCUGGUAGCGGGGGAUAACUAUUGGAAACGAUAGCUAAUACCGCAUAAUAGUGGAUGUUGCAUGACAUUUGCUUAAAAGGUGCAAUUGCAUCACUACCAGAUGGACCUGCGUUGUAUUAGCUAGUUGGUGGGGUAACGGCUCACCAAGGCGACGAUACAUAGCCGACCUGAGAGGGUGAUCGGCCACACUGGGACUGAGACACGGCCCAA